GGUCCCUUGGUCCAACUGGAGAGGGCAGCCCUCUUCUAAAGGGCGGGUACUGGUUCGAGUCCAGUAGGGAUCGCCA
rnacentral:tRNA from 1 species